UACUGAGUAAUUCUAUACUAUUAUAGAAUAUUUUAUGUUAAAACUAGUAACAAGAAAAGACUUUCUCUUUAAUGCAACUGUAAAUCAGAAAGGACAAGCCACUGAUACUUAACAUCAUUGAGCCAAAAGUAAAAACUCACCAAGAAAACCCUACUUUCAUUUAUGUUAACCUAACACAAGAGCAUUACAAGAAAGAUUAAAAGAAAAAGAAGGAACUCGGCAAACAUUAACCUCGCCUGUUUACCAAAAACAUCGCCUCUUGAAUCCCAUAAGAGGUCCAGCCUGCCCAGUGACUUUGUUCAACGGCCGCGGUAUCCUAACCGUGCGAAGGUAGCGUAAUCACUUGUUCUUUAAAUAAGGACUAGUAUGAAUGGCACCACGAAGGUUAUACUGUCUCCUUUUUCUAAUCAGUGAAACUAAUCUUCCCGUGAAGAAGCGGGAAUAUUAAUAUAAGACGAGAAGACCCUAUGGAGCUUAAAAUAACUCAACAUUUGCUUAAACAUUAAAAAUUUCAGAACUUUAACUUCUACCAGCAAUAUGAUUGCAAAAUUUUUGGUUGGGGUGACCACGGAGAACAAUACAACCUCCAUGCAGAAAGAAUUUUCUUCUAAGCUAAGAAUUACUUAUCUAAGCAUCAACACAUUGACAUUCCUUGACCCAAUAUAAUUGAUCAACGAACCAAGUUACCCUAGGGAUAACAGCGCAAUCUACUUCAAGAGCUCCUAUCGACAAGUAGGUUUACGACCUCGAUGU
rnacentral:rRNA from 1 species